GGUUGCUUGUACUAAGGGGAGGGUUUAUGCCUGAGCCACUGUGAUUGGCUAAUGUAUCAUACUUGUCCACCAGGUGGGAGACCAGCAUAAAUACCGGGCAGAUAGCCCUCAUUAAAGCAGAUUCUGUUUUACCCUCAAGACGGAGCUCGGUCUCGUGUUUGGGGGGAUUUCUACUUUGGAGUAUUCUUUCACCUGUUCCAGGAGAGAAGGAGUUCGUAUGAUUCUCUGUUCUGGAGUUUGGAGCAUUCCCUUGUAUUCCAUUUGGGAGUUUGGCGGUCUACAGCAACAGUGCCUGUGUCUCUAAAGGGGGGAAGAUCUACUAAACGGCGGUUUCACUCAUUUAUGCCGGGAGUGUCUUAACAGAGCACAUCUGGGACAUCAUGUCUCGCUCCAUCCACCAAUAUCACUUUGCACCACAGACUGUCCAGGAGUUGGCAGAUGCUUUAGUCCAGGUCUGGGAGGAGAUCCCUCAGAGACCAUCCGCCACCUCAUCAAGAGCAUGCACAGGCAUUGUAGGGAGGUCAUACAGGCACGCGGAGGCCACACACACACUACUGAGCCUCAUUUUGACUUGUUUUAAGGACAUUACAUCAAAGUUGGAUCAGCCUGUAGUGUGUUUUUCCACUUUAAUUUUGAAUGUGACUGCAAAUCCAGACCAAACCAGA